rnacentral:rRNA from 1 species
UACGAAGGGUGCAAGCGUUACUCGGAAUUACUGGGCGUAAAGCGUGCGUAGGUGGUUCGUUAAGUCUGUCGUGAAAGCCCCGGGCUCAACCUGGGAAUGGCAGUGGAUACUGGACAGCUAGAGUGCGGUAGAGGGUAGUGGAAUUCCCGGUGUAGCAGUGAAAUGCGUAGAGAUCAGGAGGAACACCAGUGGCGAAGGCGGCGCUCUGGGCUGGAACUGACGCUGAGGAGCGAAAGCGUGGGGAGCGAACAGG